UAAUUUUCCCGUGGUGCCAAGCCCGAAAUGCCCCUGUCAGGAAUCAGAGCCAGCACCAGAACCAGUCUCCAGGCAACCUGACUAGCACAGCUGGCCGGUAGUAAGCUGCCUCAUUGACUAUACUGCCUGAUUGGUAGGAAGAAUCAGCAGACCAGCUUUUAAGCCCAGCAGCAGCAGUUUAGUGGCCACUUGAAGCACUUGCCCAUGGCUGUGAUAGCUCCUGCCUCUGAUCCACCCCUGCUUUACUCCAGCCCCUGAUUGUUCUGUUUGGCCUGCAGGAGUACCAAGAAACCCCAGUCCUGGCCCAGGACCCCGCUAUGCUAAUUUGGACGGACGUGAAAACAAGCUGAUAAUCCUCUGAGGAGUCUAGGGCUGAAAACAUUGGAUGGGAAGUCA